GCGAGUCUUUGUAGUAAUACAAGGCAGACGGCUCAGUAACACGUAGUCAACCUACCCUAUGGACAAGAAUAAUCUCGGGAAACUGGGCAUAAUUCUUGAUAGAUCAUAAUGCCUGGAAUGGUUUAUGGUUAAAAUGAUUCGUCGCCAUAGGAUGGGACUGCGGCCUAUCAGCUUGUUGGUGAGGUAAUGGCCCACCAAGGCGAUUACAGGUACGGGCUCUGAGAGGAGAAGCCCGGAGAUGGGUACUGAGACACGGACCCAGGCCCUAUGGGGCGCAGCAGGCGAGAAAACUUUGCAAUGUGCGAAAGCACGACAAGGUUAAUCCGAGUGAUUUCUGCUAAAGAAAUCUUUUGCCAGUCAUAAAACCACUGGUGAAUAAGGGGUGGGCAAGUUCUGGUGUCAGCCGCCGCGGUAAAACCAGCACCUCAAGUGGCCAGGAUGAUUAUUGGGCCUAAAGCAUCCGUAGCCGGCUUUGUUAGUUUUCGGUUAAAUCCAUGCGCUCAACGCAUGGGCUGCCGAAAAUACUGCAUGGCUAGGGAGUGGGAGAGGUAGACGGUACUCAGUAGGAAGGGGUAAAAUCCUUUGAUCUAUUGAUGACCACCUGUGGCGAAGGCGGUCUACCAGAACACGUUCGACGGUGAGGGAUGAAAGCUGGGGGAGCAAACC
rnacentral:rRNA from 1 species